UGUAGUGAAAAAUAUGUAAACACAAGCGAAGUCAGGGGAACUAUAAUAUUAACCGAGAUAUUGUAAUACUGGAGUGAUCGCCGUCAAAAAACGUACUACUGAUUAGAGUGCCUAUAACCAGAGUGACGACAUCUCAUCCGUAAUUUUGGCAACAAUUCAAAACAUUCCAUUAGCUUUACAUUGAAUUGACAGGUCGUUUGCUCGUUUGGAACUGGGAGCUGUCAUUCCAAACGAACAGCUGUCGCCACUCUGAUUAUAGUCACUCUACUACUGAUGAUGAUGGGCCAACAGGCGCUGUUAGCGAGGAAUUGGUGCGAAUCGAUGAACUGAUGUCGGUUAUAAGAAAAAUUUUAGAUGAUUCCCGGUUAGACCAAAUUUCAAAAAUCCUUUGUAAAAAUUGACAACGAUCACGAUGGCAUAUCAAAGUGGAAGAGAAGACAGUGGCGGAUAUGAGGCUACGGUCCUCAAGCCAAAAACAAGAAAAUAUAACAACAACAACAAAGUGGAAGAUGUUUGCAACUGAUUUGGGUGUUUCUUCUGGCGAUGGUCAAACAAGUAAAAGAAACGGUACGAAGGUCGGUUCAUUAAUAAGACAGUAUAUUAUUAAAGUGAGGUUACAGAAUAAAAAUACAUUCCAUCAACUGCAA